rnacentral:rRNA from 1 species
ACUCAAAUGAAUUGACGGGGACCCGCACAAGCGGUGGAUGAUGUGGAUUAAUUCGAUGCAACGCGAAAAACCUUACCUACCCUUGACAUGGUCGGAAUCUUCAAGAGAUUGAGGAGUGCUCGAAAGAGAACCGGCGCACAGGUGCUGCAUGGCUGUCGUCAGCUCGUGUCGUGAGAUGUUGGGUUAAGUCCCGCAACGAGCGCAACCCUUAUCAUUAGUUGCUACGCAAGGGCACUCUAAUGAGACUGCCGGUGACAAACCGGAGGAAGGUGGGGAUGACGUCAAGUCCUCAUGGCCCUUAUGGGUAGGGCUUCACACGUCAUACAAUGGUACGUACAAAGGGUUGCCAACCCGCGAGGGGGAGCUAAUCUCAGAAAGCGUAUCGUAGUCCGGAUUGUAGUCUGCAACUCGACUACAUGAAGUUGGAAUCGCUAGUAAUCGCGGAUCAGCAUGUCGCGGUGAAUACGUUCCCGGGUCUUGCACACACCGCCCGU